rnacentral:rRNA from 1 species
GACGAACGCUGGCGGCGUGCCUAAUACAUGCAAGUAGGACGCUGAAGGAGGAGCUUGCUUCUCUGGAUGAGUUGCGAACGGGUGAGUAACGCGUAGGUAACCUGCCUGGUAGCGGGGGAUAACUAUUGGAAACGAUAGCUAAUACCGCAUAAUAGUAGAUGUUGCAUGACAUUUGCUUAAAAGGUGCAAUUGCAUCACUACCAGAUGGACCUGCGUUGUAUUAGCUAGUUGGUGGGGUAACGGCUCACCAAGGCGACGAUACAUAGCCGACCUGAGAGGGUGAUCGGCCACACUGGGACUGAGACACGGCCCAGACUCCUACGGGAGGCAGCAGUAGGGAAUCUUCGGCAAUGGACGGAAGUCUGACCGAGCAACGCCGCGUGAGUGAAGAAGGUUUUCGGAUCGUAAAGCUCUGUUGUAAGAGAAGAACGAGUGUGAGAGUGGAAAGUUCACACUGUGACGGUAUCUUACCAGAAAGAGACGGCUAACUACGUG